UUCAAAUGAAUAAACAUUUGGCAUCAUCAUCUGGAAUCAUUAGCUAAAGGAUGUCAGAAGUGGGCUGAGAUUAUGGCUGACACCUGUGUACUAGAUUUUCCCAGUGAGCUAUUAAACGAGAAACAACCCCAGUCCUCAACUGCACAAAGGAUAAGCACACAGCUCUUGACGGCCCGGUGGAAUAAGGCCAAAUGAAAAGUCAGAAUAUGUUUCAUAUAAGGACUUUUGUUGGAUGUUCUAUGUCGCGGGAAUAAAGAACUGGCAAUGAUUACAUUCUACUUCCACUAAGGAACUUGGCUGUCAGUCAAAAUCCAGCUUAGAUUGGAGUCUCGAUUCUGACCAACCAAGACGUCAACCCAAGGGUCAUUGAAAUAAAGCCAAAGUGAUACCAUCUGCUGCUCAUUUUACAUUCAGAACAAUCAGUUCAUGAUGGAGAUACGUGGUGAUAUAAUGGGUCAAUCUUAAUCCCCAUACACUCAUGCAGCCCUCUGGUGAAGUGGAAGAUUUGAAAAUAAAUUCAGGAACUAUCUUCUAAGAAUGCAGAGACCUGGGGCAGUUGUUUUGGAUUAUGGUAAAAAAAGAUUGGAGACAUUCUGAGUUCUUUAAGAAUUGAACAUGUAGAAGAGUGAUCUAUCCAACUGGGGGGAAGGUGGGGGGGUGAAUUGAACAGGCUGAAAGGGCAGUAAUCCCUAGCUGUUCCUGUAGGUAACCUCUGCUGUCAUCUCUGGCAGAACUGUGAAGUGAAGAUUAGAUAAUGGCAGAGGUUCCCAAAUGCAGUCCUCAAGGUACCCUAACAGUCCAGGUUUUAGGGAUAUACAUGGCUGAGCAUAGAUGGUUACAUCAAAUUGACUGCCAUCGUACACUUGGUCUCCCUAGCCUUGCCCCCACCUUGGACAGCUGAACUCUCUCUCUCUACCAUGUUCACCCACAGCAUGAACUUGCCCUGUCCAUCUCCGCAGAGAGAGUGGAUGACAGAGAUAGAAUAGACCAUCCUAGAUUAGUAUAUGGAUGAUGAUGAUAAUAAUAAUAAUAAUAAUAAUAAUAAUAAUAAAUAAGUCUGAAAUGACUUGUCUAUGUUUCAAUAAUGUGCAUGCCCUACCAUUCUUAGCAUUUUUUUUUUUACUGACCUUUGUGAUCUUUAAAAAGAUAACUUAAAAGGACAUCAGUCUGGUGUAUUGCAGAAGUCUGAGAGACUGUCAGUCUCCUAGGUAACAGAAUGCUCUCUAAAGAUUUACAGAUUCACACAUAGGAGCAUGGCCAUGAUGUUGCAAGUUGAAAAGUUAAUUAAUAAGUUAUAUAGGCCAGAUGCAUUUUAGGGGGCUUGGGUUUAGUGCCAUAAAUGAAUGUAUUCUUAUUAACAACAUUAAUACAAGCAACUGAGAGCAGCCUUCCUUUAUUAUUUCAAUAUGGGCUAUGUUCUUUCCCUGGUAACGUGUACAAUCGAUUUUAAUGACGACAGGAUUUCUGAGAAUAGGACAUUGUUGUUGGGUUUUUUUUCCAUGUCCUUAAAACAUGUAGUGCUGUGUUUAUACAUACUUGGAGAACAGAUAUCAUUAACUGUCUGCAGGGCCAAAAGAAAGGUCUUUGAUCAGACUCACAGUUGACAUAAGUGUUGGGCUUGACUAUAAGAAUGCGUCUGGGCUCCGUCCUGUGUCUUUUUACCAAUAGCGCGUCUAAGAUCAAGCUCUUCACUUGUAAAUAAACCAUGGGGCUCAGAGAGGCAUCAGCAGUCAUUUAGUAAAAUGUAAUAUAUUUAAUUCACCCAGCCUGCACGAUGACAUAGAACAGUGAAAGAAUGUAUUUGUGCCACAAUAACUGUGUGAGCUGAGCUUCCAGGCCAAAGGUACUGUGGAUGUUUACAUUAUGUAAACAAUAUGGAAUACAUAAGCAUUUCAAUGGGGACUUUAAUGUCGAGUUUGAAGGGCUUUUUCAAAUCCUUUCACAUAUGGAAAAAAUAAAUAGUACGAUAUUCAUUUGCAGAUGUCAGCCACAGUAAAUAAUUCCAUAUGCAUAUAGGGACUAGUUUGCUCCUAAACCCCCCAAAAUUAUAUUUACGCU